rnacentral:lncRNA from 1 species
UCCCAGUCCAUCCCAGUCCCAUCCCAGUCCCUCCCAGUCCAUCCCAGUCCAUCCCAGUCCAUCCCAGCCUAUCCCACUCUAUCCCAGUCCAUCCCAGUCCCAUCCCAGUCCAUCCCAGUGCUAUCCCAGUCCCUCCCAGUCCAUCCCAGUCCAUCCGGGCGGAACUGAACCUCUGUGAAAUGGGGAAAAAUAGAAAAAAAAAUGGGAUUAGGUGGGAAAAAGGUUGGGAAUAACGCUGGGAUAGGGCAGGAGUUGUCACUGAAUUCCUAUGGAUCCAUGGAGAAUUUAGAAGGUUCCAGGAGCCGCCAUCAGAUCCUGAAAGGAUUCACCAGGAUCCUACAAAACUCCACAAAUUAUCACCAGAUCCUAACUGGAUUCACCAGGAUACUUCAUAAUUCACAAAAUUCUCAUCAGACCUUAGAAGGAUUCACCAGGAUCCUACAAAAGCCCUGGAAUCAUCAACAGAUCCUACAGGGAUUCACCAUUUUCCUACAGAAAUCCCAGUCCAUCCCAGUCCAUCCCAGUCCAUCCCAGUCCAUCCAGUCAGAAUUGAACCUCUGGGAAGAGAGGAAAAAUGGGAAAAAAUUGGGAUUAGAUGGGAAAAGGGUUGGGAAUAAUGUUGGGAUAGGGCAGGAGUUGUCGCUGAAUUCCUACGGAUUUAUCGGGGUCAUGGAAGAUUCCAAGAGUCACCAUCAGAUCCUACAAGAAUUCAUCAUUAUUCUACAAAAUUCCACAAAUUAUCACCAGAUCCUAACUGGAUUCACCACAAUACUACAGAAAUCCCAGUCCCAUCCCAGUCCAUCCCAGUCUGGUCCCACUUCAUCCCAGUCCCAUCCCAGUCUGGUCCCACUUCAUCCCAGUCCCAUCCCAGUCCAUCCCAGUCCGUCCCAGUCCCAUCCCAGUCCAUCCCAGUCCGUCCCAGUCCCUCCCAGUCCAUCCCAGUCCGUCCCAGUCCGUCCCAGUCCCAUCCCAGUCCAUCUGGGCGGAACUGAACCUCUGCGAAAGAUGGAAAAACAAAAAAAAAAUGGAAUUAGAUUGGAAAAAGGUUGGGAAUAAUGCUGGGAUACGGCAAAAAUUGUUAUUGAAUUUCUAUGGGUUAAUGGAAGUCUUAGAAGGUUUCAGGAGCCACCACCGGAUCCUACAAGGAUUCACCAGGAUCCUACAAAAUUCCCAAAAUUCUCAUCAGAUCCUAACUGGAUUCACCAGAAUCCUACAAAAUUCACAAAAUUCUUAUCAGACCUUAAAAGGAUUCACCAGGAUCCUACAAAAGCCCUGGAAUCAUCAACAGAUCCUGACAGGGUUCACCAUUGUCCUACAGAAAUCCCAGUCCAUCCCAGUCCAUCCCAGUCCAUCCCAGUCCCAUCCCAGUCCAUCCCAGUCCAUCCCAGUCCAUCCCAGUCCAUCCCAGUCCAUCCCAGUCCCUCCCAGUCCAUCCCAGUCCCAUCCCAGUCCCUCCCAGUCCAUCCCAGUCCAUCCCAGUCCAUCCCA